rnacentral:lncRNA from 1 species
GUUGGCUUAUUUGUCAACCAUCGAUAGUAUCGAUGGCACUAUCGAUUUUCUCCCGACCCUAUUGCUCACCGGAAAUGGAUGGUUUGAUUUCCUUUCCUAUUCUUCUUUAGGCCGACCAAUACGGAAUUUUCGAGAUUUUAGUUGGAUCUGACGAAAUAAACCAAAGUAAGUCUUGUUUUUUCCCCCAAUAAAAGAUUUCUUAUCAAAUUGACGGUUUUCAAACAUAGAUGCCACGAGAAAUAAAAGAAGUAAAAGAUUUUCUUAAUAAAGCACGUCGUUCAGAUGCGCGUGCUGUGAAAAUCAAGAAGAAUCCUACAAAUACAAAGUUCAAGAUCCGCUGCUCGCGCUUUUUGUACACGUUAGUGGUACAGGAUAAGGAAAAAGCGGACAAAAUUAAGCAGUCUUUGCCCCCAGGACUGCAAGUCAAGGAGGUCAAGUAGUGCUUUGAUCGUUUCAGAUUCAUUGCAUGAACUGCGUUAAAUCGAUUUGGCUGGAUGAAAAGUCUUCAUAAUAUAAAAUCGAUUUUUGGAAAUAGCAAAUAAAACAUGUACCGUGAAAGAAAAAAAGCAUAAAUAUUACUUCGGUGGCAGUAGUCCCCGAAAAAGAAGAUAACAUGAAAAACUU